UACGUAGGGAGCGAGCGUUGUCCGGAAUUACUGGGCGUAAAGGGCGCGUAGGCGGACUGUCAAGUCAGCGGUAAAAUUGAGAGGCUCAACCUCUUCCCGCCGUUGAAACUGGUGGUCUUGAGUGGAUGAGAAGUACGCGGAAUGCGUGGUGUAGCGGUGAAAUGCAUAGAUAUCACGCAGAACUCCGAUUGCGAAGGCAGCGUACCGGCAUCCAACUGACGCUGAGGCACGAAAGCGUGGGGAUCAAACAGG
rnacentral:rRNA from 1 species